rnacentral:rRNA from 1 species
GAUCCUGGCUCAGGAUGAACGCUGGCGGCGUGCUUAACACAUGCAAGUCGAGCGAAGCGCUUAUGAUGAUUCUUCGGAUGAAUCAUUUGUGACUGAGCGGCGGACGGGUGAGUAACGCGUGAGUAACCUGCCUCAUACAGGGGAAUAACAGUUAGAAAUGACUGCUAAUGCCGCAUAAGCGCACAGGGCCGCAUGGCCCGGUGUGAAAAACUCCGGUGGU